UUACUAGGCCGCCACCGUGGCGGAAUGCUCAUCUACUGAACUGCCAUUAUUCCAGGUGGCCGUUGGGCUUGGGCGGUCACCGCACUGGACUACCUACGCACUGCGCGGCCACUGUACUGGGUGGUCAUCGGCCCAGAUGACCACUGACCGGGCUGCCUUGGGAGGCCAUGGGUGACCCGCACAUAUUAGACACUCGGUUUAAAUGGUCGAUGGAUUGACUGAAGCUUGGAUCCAGGAUCCUGUCGCCCAUGAGCCUGGUUAAAGUUCCCGAAUGGCACGUGACGGCGUCUCCGAGUCGUAUUAAUGGUAUUUAUUGAGGACCCGCCGAGUGCCGUGAUGUCACCCGUCGCCAACGGUCAGGUUUGGCGAUCGGCGAGGCAAAUGAAGUCACAAUUUCCUUGUCCGGCGACGGAGUUAUAAUGGAUUGCUUCAAUCAACUCCAGUCAAAUCACUGAACCGAGUUAUCCAGGAGUAACCGCCGAUGAAAAAUUGUCAUUCUAAAUAUGAUUCUUCACUUAUCUAAGGACUAUAUUUAUUAGGUGCUCGCCGAGCUCGCGUAAUUAUUGGGAGAGGGGAGAGUAGUUUUCCACCUCUAGCUUCCAGAUUGUCUCGGGGAAAAUAGAGCAUUUUACGCACCGAC